GACGAACGCUGGCGGCGUGCCUAAUACAUGCAAGUAGAACGCACAGUUUAUACCGUAGCUUGCUCCACCAUAGACUGUGAGUUGCGAACGGGUGAGUAACGCGUAGGUAACCUGCCUGGUAGCGGGGGAUAACUAUUGGAAACGAUAGCUAAUACCGCAUAAUAUUGAUUAUUGCAUGAUAAUUGAUUGAAAGAUGCUAUUGCAUCACUACCAGAUGGACCUGCGUUGUAUUAGCUAGUAGGUGAGGUAACGGCUCACCUAGGCGACGAUACAUAGCCGACCUGAGAGGGUGAUCGGCCACACUGGGACUGAGACACGGCCCAGACUCCUACGGGAGGCAGCAGUAGGGAAUCUUCGGCAAUGGACGAAAGUCUGACCGAGCAACGCCGCGUGAGUGAAGAAGGUUUUCGGAUCGUAAAGCUCUGUUGUAAGAGAAGAACGGGUGUGAGAGUGGAAAGUUCACACUGUGACGGUACCUUACCAGAAAGGGACGGCUAACUACGUG
rnacentral:rRNA from 1 species